AACGAACGCUGGCGGCAGGCUUAACACAUGCAAGUCGAGCGCCGUAGCAAUACGGAGCGGCAGACGGGUGAGUAACGCGUGGGAAUCUACCCAUCACUACGGAACAACUCCGGGAAACUGGAGCUAAUACCGUAUACGUCCUUCGGGAGAAAGAUUUAUCGGUGAUGGAUGAGCCCGCGUUGGAUUAGCUAGUUGGUGGGGUAAUGGCCCACCAAGGCGACGAUCCAUAGCUGGUCUGAGAGGAUGAUCAGCCACACUGGGACUGAGACACGGCCCAGACUCCUACGGGAGGCAGCAGUGGGGAAUAUUGGACAAUGGGCGCAAGCCUGAUCCAGCCAUGCCGCGUGAGUGAUGAAGGCCCUAGGGUUGUAAAGCUCUUUCACCGGUGAAGAUAAUGACGGUAACCGGAGAAGAAGCCCCGGCUAACUUCGUGCCAGCAGCCGCCGUAA
rnacentral:rRNA from 1 species